rnacentral:tRNA from 1 species
GGAGAAGUACCCAAGUGGCUCAAGGGGCUCCCCUGCUAAGGGAGUAGAUCGCAAAUAAACGUGAUGCAUGGGUUCAAAUCCCAUCUUCUCCG